rnacentral:rRNA from 1 species
UACGAAGGGGCUAGCGUUGUUCGGAAUUACUGGGCGUAAAGCGCGCGCAGGCGGUUCUCCAAGUCAGUGGUGAAAGCCCGGAGCUCAACUCCGGAACUGCCAUUGAAACUGUGAACUUGAGGAUGAGAGAGGUGAGUGGAAUUCCCAGUGUAGAGGUGAAAUUCGUAGAUAUUCGCAAGAACACCAGUGGCGAAGGCGGCUCACUGGCCCGAUACUGACGCUGAGGCACGAAAGCGUGGGGAGCAACAGGG